rnacentral:tRNA from 1 species
GGAGAUUUAGCUCAGUGAUAGAGCGCUUGCCUAGCAAGCGCAAGGCCCUGGGUUCGGUCCCCAGCUCCG